GGCCGGCUAGCUCAGUUGGUUAGAGCGUCGUGCUAAUAUUCUGAUUAAGUCGAGAGUAUCAACGCGAAGGUCUUGGGUUCGAUCCCCACGUUGGCCA